GUGCUCGCGUGGGCAGCGCAUAUACUGAAAGAGGAACGAUACAGAGAAGAUUAGCCUGGCUGCUGCGCAAGGAUGACACGCAAAUUCAUGAAGGGUUCCACGUUAAA